rnacentral:rRNA from 1 species
CUUCGGAAGCAAAGUUUCUUAACCUAGCGGCGGAUGGGUGAGUAACGCGUGGGUAACCUACCCUAAAGUUCGGGAUAACAGUUGGAAACGAUUGCUAAUACCGAAUAUUCUCUUUUUGUGGCAUCACAUUAAGAGGAAAGGUUACGCUUUAGGAUGGACCCGCGUCCCAUUAGCUAGUUGGUAAGGUAAUGGCUUACCAAGGCGACGAUGGGUAGCCGGCCUGAGAGGGUGUACGGCCACACUGGGACUGAGACACGGCCCAGACUCCUACGGGAGGCAGCAGUAGGGAAUAUUGCGCAAUGGAGGGAACUCUGACGCAGCGACGCCGCGUGAGCGAUGAAGGUCUUCGGAUCGUAAAGCUCUGUCCUUGGGGAAGAAGGGUGCAUUAUAGCAUCUUGACGGUACCCGAGGAGGAAGCCCCGGCUAACUACGUGCCAGCAGCCGCGGUAAUACGUAGGGGGCAAGCGUUGUCCGGAAUUAUUGGGCGUAAAGGGUGCGUAGGCGGCCUUUUAAGUCAGGUGUGAAAGCCCACGGCUUAACCGUGGGAUUGCAUUUGAAACUGGAAGGCUUGAGUAUCGGAGAGGGUAGUGGAAUUCCCAGUGUAGCGGUGAAAUGCGUAGAUAUUGGGAGGAACACCGGUGGCGAAGGCGGCUUUCUGGACGACAACUGACGCUGAGGCGCGAAAGCGUGGGGAGCAAACAGGAUUAGAUACCCUGGUAGUCCACGCCGUAAACGAUGGAUACUAGGUGUAGGAGGUAUCGACCCCUUCUGUGCCGGAGUUAACACAAUAAGUAUCCCACCUGGGGAGUACGGCCGCACGGCUGAAACUCAAAGGAAUUGACGGGGGCCCGCACAAGCAGUGGAGUAUGUGGUUUAAUUCGAAGCAACGCGAAGAACCUUACCAGGGCUUGACAUACAGACGAAUGGUGUGGAAACACAUCAGACCUUCGGGACGUCUGUACAGGUGGUGCAUGGUUGUCGUCAGCUCGUGUCGUGAGAUGUUGGGUUAAGUCCCGCAACGAGCGCAACCCCUGUUGUUAGUUGCCAUCAUUAAGUUGGGCACUCUAACGAGACUGCCGGUGACAAAUCGGAGGAAGGUGGGGACGACGUCAAAUCAUCAUGCCCCUUAUGUCCUGGGCUACACACGUACUACAAUGGCUAUUACAGCAGGAAGCGAAGGAGUAAUCCGGAGCAGAUCCCAAAAAAUAGUCCCAGUUCGGAUUGUGGGCUGCAACUCGCCCACAUGAAGUCGGAAUUGCUAGUAAUGGCAGGUCAGCAUACUGCCGUGAAUACGUUCCCGGGCCUUGUACACACCGCCCGUCACACCAUGAGAGUCUGCAACACCCGAAGUCAGUAGUCUAAC